AGGGCCCCGGCCCGCCUCCCGGAACUUCACUCGGGCCAGAGACCCAGCACCGCCGGUGCGGCCAGCCGGGAGACCGACACCCCGAGUCCCCCCGCCCCGCAGGUACCCCAGUAUGUACCCGACUGCAUACAACUUGCACUCUACCCUGGGUCCUGAGCAGUGAUCGCAUGUGCUAGGAGAGCAACAGAUCAGCACACCUAGCUGGCACCCAUUCCAUGCAUCUUGAGAUGGGAGAUACUCUGGAAGGCAUCGAUAGCGUAAUGGGCAGGGAUGGAGGACUUUUGGCCAGCAAACGAUACAAGAUUCAUCAGCUGAGAAGUGCCAGUAGUUCUGCUCCUGACGCUCUCCAUUGCUCCGGGGCUGAGCUGAGAGAGUGAGUUGUAAUUGUCAGUGCCUCCAGACUCCCUUAAGCGCUGAAGCAAGACCACCAUGACAAAAGGAGUUGGAGGAGCUGAAUGUGAUGGUAUCAGGAGCUACACUGUCAGUUACAAGCUUCAGCCUCAACAUUAUCAGCUACUAAUUUUAUUUUAAGCAUUCUCAGAAUAUGCUUAUGUAUAUGAGCUAUACACAGAAGCUGAAGGGCUGUUAAAAAGAUCUGAUGCAAAACAAUGCUGAUAUAGAGUACUAAUUAUUGCUUGAAUGGAGCGCACAGGAAGAAGUACCAGCUGGCUGAUGAGCCCUCUUCUCUUUUUAACUUAAUUGUCUCUUGUUUUCAAACAGAUCACCAGAGAUGACAA